CUCACUUUCCGCUUCCCAGCAUUGGCGGGUUCCGGGACUGGUGGCUGCGGUAGCUCAUUGGCCUUUGGUCUCUUAGACGGUGGAGAAUAAUCAUCAUCUUGAAAAAGAAAAUGGUCAUUACUGGAAGAACCAUCUUACAGUUACAGUCACCUCCUGGUCAAUUCCCAACAUUCAAAAGGUGCUGGGAUUACAGGCGUGAGCCACUGCGCCCAGCUACAACUGACUUUUUUGAUCCCUGGGAGAUGAGUCAACACCAAGGGACGACCAGUCCUAAGCCCUGGACAUGGACCUGGGGGUGAGGACAGAAGGGGAUCAGGACCAGCCCUCUCAUCCUGCACACUGAGGCAUGGGUGAUCCCAGGAAGCCACUCACCAGGCACCAGGGUGGCUUCCUGGAGGAGAGGAUGCUGAAGCCGACCUCAAGAAGUGUCUGUGUUAGGUUUAAGGACUCACAAGACUUCUCUGGCUGGACUAAAGCUGUGCGACCUUGCCAUUGUACUUCUCCAAAGCUAGUGUCUUCACCGCUCUGCAAAAUAUGGCAAAGUCAACGGUAGCUCUCAUCACCACUGGCUCUAGGGCUUGGCAGAGGAAGGGGCAAGGUAUCUCUGCAUCCCUUGGACCCAGCCACACCCCAACACAGAGUGAAUGUUUCCUAAUGCCAUUCCCUUUCCACAACUCCACUCCACGAGAGAGAAGUGACUUAAGCCUGCUAAGGAGCGGAGGGAAAAGUUCAGGAAGGUUUCAGCAUGCUAUCAUUAGCGCUAUCAUUAGCUCUUGAGGACUGAAUAGGAAUUUACUAGGGGUGGGUGGGGGAGAAUAUUCCAGGCAAAUGGAAGAGAGGUAGAUACAAAGGCACAGAGGUAUGUAGGGAACAAUAAGGGAAAUUGUGUAUUUGCUGGGGGAGGGCUAAAGAUGAGGAUUCAAGGCCAGGAGCAGUAAUCCCA
rnacentral:lncRNA from 1 species